GACGAACGCUGGCGGCGUGCUUAACACAUGCAAGUCGAACGGUAAGGCCCUUCGGGGUACACGAGUGGCGAACGGGUGAGUAACACGUGGGUGAUCUGCCCUGCACUUCGGGAUAAGCCUGGGAAACUGGGUCUAAUACCGGAUAGGACCACUGCCUGCAUGGGUGGUGGUGGAAAGCUUUUGCGGCGUGGGAUGGGCCCGCGGCCUAUCAGCUUGUUGGUGGGGUGAUGGCCUACCAAGGCGACGACGGGUAGCCGGCCUGAGAGGGUGACCGGCCACACUGGGACUGAGAUACGGCCCAGACUCCUACGGGAGGCAGCAGUGGGGAAUAUUGCACAAUGGGCGCAAGCCUGAUGCAGCGACGCCGCGUGAGGGAUGACGGCCUUCGGGUUGUAAACCUCUUUCAGCACCGACGAAGCGCAAGUGACGGUAGGUGCAGAAGAAGAACCGGCCAACUACGUGCCAGCCGCCGCAGUAA
rnacentral:rRNA from 1 species